rnacentral:rRNA from 1 species
AGAUUGAACGCUAGCGGGAUGCUUUACACAUGCAAGUCGAACGGCAGCGCGGACUUCGGUCUGGCGGCGAGUGGCGAACGGGUGAGUAAUAUAUCGGAACGUGCCCAGUAGCGGGGGAUAACUACGCGAAAGCGUGGCUAAUACCGCAUACGCCCUACGGGAGAAAGCGGGGACCUUCGGGCCUCGCGCCAUUAGAUGAGCCUAGGUCGGAUUAGCUAGUUGGUGAGGUAAUGGCUCGACCAAGGCGACGAUCCGUAACUGGUCUGAGAGGAUGAUCAGUCACACUGGAACUGAGACACGGUCCAGACUCCUACGGGAGCCAGCAGUGGGAAUAGUUGGACAAGUGGGCGAAAGCCUGAUCCAGCCAUGCCGCGUGUGUGAAGAGGUCUUCGGAUUGAAGCGUACUUUAAGUUGGGAAGUAAGGUUAGUAAACGUUUAAUACGGUU